CUUGCUGGGCUGGAUGAGUGGCGAACGGGUGAGUAACACGUGAGUAACCUGCCCUCUUCUUUGGGAUAACGGUCGGAAACGGCUGCUAAUACCGGGUAUUCACUGUCCUUCGCAUGGGGGGUGGUGGAAAGGUUUUUUCUGGUGGGGGAUGGGCUCGCGGCCUAUCAGCUUGUUGGUGGGGUGAUGGCUUACCAAGGCUUUGACGGGUAACCGGCCUGAGAGGGUGACCGGUCACAUUGGGACUGAGAUACGGCCCAGACUCCUACGGGAGGCAGCAGUGGGGAAUAUUGCACAAUGGGCGAAAGCCUGAUGCAGCGACGCCGCGUGAGGGAUGAAGGCCUUCGGGUUGUAAACCUCUUUCGCUCAUGGUCAAGCCGCAACUUUGGGUUGUGGUGAGGGUAGUGGGUAAAGAAGCACCGGCUAACUACUUGCCAGCAGCCGCGGUAAUACUUAGGGUGCCCCCUUGUCCCGACUUAUUGGGGUGAGGGUUGUACGCAGUUUGUCACGUCUGCCCGAAAUCCGCUGCCUUAACUGGAGGCGUGCGAUUUGACGGCCAAAUUGAAUGCGUAGGGGAGACUGGAACUUCUGUUGUAUCGGAUAAUACUCAAAUAUCGGGCAACUAACCGUGGCAAUGCGUAUCUCUGUG
rnacentral:rRNA from 1 species